rnacentral:rRNA from 1 species
UACGUAGGGUCCGAGCGUUGUCCGGAAUUAUUGGGCGUAAAGGGCUCGUAGGCGGUUUGUCACGUCGGGAGUGAAAACUCAGGGCUCAACCCUGAGCGUGCUUCCGAUACGGGCAGACUAGAGGUAUGCAGGGGAGAACGGAAUUCCUGGUGUAGCGGUGGAAUGCGCAGAUAUCGGGAGGAACACCGGUGGCGAAGGCGGUUCUCUGGGCCUUACCUGACGCUGAGGAGCGAAAGCGUGGGGAGCGAACAGG